rnacentral:rRNA from 1 species
CCUACGUGAGGCAGCAGUGAGGAAUAUUGGUCAAUGGACGAGAGUCUGAACCAGCCAAGUAGCGUGAAGGAUGACUGCCCUAUGGGUUGUAAACUUCUUUUAUAUGGGAAUAAAAUGUUCCACGUGUGGGCUUUUGUAUGUACCAUAUGAAUAAGGAUCGGCUAACUCCGUGCCAGCAGCCGCGGUAAUACGGAGGAUCCGAGCGUUAUCCGGAUUUAUUUGGUUUAAAGGGAGCGUAGGUGGAUUUUUAAUGCAGUUGGGAAAGUUUGCUGCUCAACCGUCAAAUUGCAGUUGAAACUGGCAGUCUUGAGUACAGUAGAGGUGGGCGGAAGUCGUGGUGUAGCGGUGAAAUGCUUAGAUAUCACGAAGAACUCCGAUUGCGAAGGCAGUUCACUGGACUGCAACUGACACUGAGGCUCGAAAGUGUGGGUAUCAAACAGGAUUAGAUACCCCAGUAGUC